UGUCCCCUGCGGUGUUCGAGGCUGGCCAUACAUUCUUUGAACCAAUGCUAACUUAGCAGGUUGCCGUGCUUUCAACGGGCCGGUGUGCGCUCCCUACGCGGAAGCGCCUGAUGGCCCUGGCAGGCGACCCUCUUGAACUGCGGUUCAAGAUGAGGCUGGCACGGCACAGGCGGGGGACUC
rnacentral:other from 1 species